rnacentral:rRNA from 1 species
GACGAACGCUGGCGGCGUGCCUAACACAUGCAAGUCGAACGGAGUAGCCCUUCGGGACUACUUAGUGGCGAACGGGUGAGUAACGCGUGAGAAACCUGCCUUUCAGUGGGGGACAACAGUUGGAAACGACUGCUAAUACCGCAUAAGCGCACAGAGUCGCAUGACUCAGUGUGAAAAACUCCGGUGGUAUGAGAUGGACCCGCGUCUGAUUAGCUGGUUGGUGAGGUAACGGCUCACCAAGCCGACGAUCAGUAGCCGGACUGAGAGGUUGGCCGGCCACAUUGGGACUGAGACACGGCCCAGACUCCUACGGGAGGCAGCAGUGGGGAAUAUUGGGCAAUGGGCGCAAGCCUGACCCAGCAACGCCGCGUGAAGGAAGAAGGCUUUCGGGUUGUAAACUUCUUUUGUCAGGGACGAAUAAAUGACGGUACCUGACGAAUAAGCCACGGCUAACUACGUG